AACGAAAGUUCAGCUUUUGCAGAAGAAUGCCUCAAAAACUUCAAGACUUUGAUCGACAAGUAUCCCAAGUGUGUGGAAUGCUACUUCAUGUAUGCUCAGGUCCUCAUGGCGAUGCAAGACUAUGAAAAUGCUGAAUACUACAUCAAGGAAGCCUCCAAGAUAGACCCGACAAAUGCUACGCUCUAUGUUCAUCGAGGACUUCUGAAGUUCCAAUGGACUGGCCGACCAGAGGAAGGAGUUGAAUUCAUUGAAAAGCUAUCAAGUUGGAUGAUCGUUGUGAAUUAGCUUAUGAAACACUUGGAACCCUCAAAGUCCAAAAUGGAAACCUGGAAGAAGCCAUCAGCUGCUUUGAGAAAGCUCUAGAAAUUGCGAAAAGCGAAGUCGAGAUCACUCAUAUUCUGUCUCUCAAGUUCGCUGCUGAGGCCCAGCUGAACGUAGCCACACGAUUUAACCUCUACAAAAUAACAGAGUUGUAGUGUCGUAGUGCCUAGAUCUUCAUUCAAGACCUCUAAAUUUUCUUUGUUUCCUAUACUUACAAGUGUAUACAUUAUUGUGUACGUACAGAGAACAAUGUUUUUGCGGUAGGAGCUUUAUACUGUUGGGCUGGAAUCAACACCACUCCUGGCGAGGUAACUCUCUUUCCACAUGUUCUCUAAUCUUUAAUUUCUCCUUUUUCUCUCUCUUUGUUAAAUUAAUCUUUACUUCUAACUACUAGCUGGGAUUAGGUAAGAAUUAAUGCGAAGCUCCAUGGAGGAGCUGGAGACCUCCAAUAUUACCAGUAGAGCAAUUCUCUUCUGACACCAUGUCAGCACCAUUACUGUAAGCAGAUAUUUUUAGAAGAUUGUGUUUUAAUUAUAAGGAUAGAUCAGUGAAGAAAAAACAAGAUUUAUCUGAUUGCUAAAUAUCUUUUUUUAGUAGUAUCGGAGAUAUAUUUAGUGAAACUUUAGAAAUGCAUAUCUCAACUGCGGUGUUUCAAAAUCUCUGCCCCUAUUUUUCUUUUACAAAGGAUACCAAACCAGCAUUGUGGCUCGAAAUUCUCACAAAGGACUCUUUAUAUACAGAAGAAAAAUCUCCCAAGUUUUGAAGAAAUGAUAUUGAGUAGUUUUCAUUGUAGAAAAUAAACUAUGACAGAAGUCUUCAACGCCGCAAACCAAGCUAUGCGUUUCUGCAGUUUCACCUUUGAUAAAUCUCCUCGAAUAACUAGCAAUAGUGUCUCCAUGGUGCUUUCCACCUUCCUCUUAUUCAUCAAAUUUUUGUGCUCAUUACUUCAUUUGGACAACUGAAGAGGUAAAUUACAUCACUGAGGUUUUAAAGACUGAUAUUUCCUCUUAUAUCUGAUGAAAAAUUUAUUGUUUGGAUGGAUCUUACUAUCUUUCACAUCUUCAUUAGAAUCCUCUGUGAAAUGCAAUCUUAUUAUGUGGCAAGGCCUUCUCAACACUUAGAACAAUGAAGCUUUAACAUUGAUCUUAAUUGUUGCGAUUAGAACUGCUGUAAUGGUUGAAUUGUGAACAAGUUACAGUAUGCACUGUAUUGUAGUUCCUAUGUCAAAACUAACUUCGUAUAGCAGGUUUACUUGAAGACUCUCCAUUUGAUGCAUUCCUCUUGAAAUUUCGCGUUAAGAACAUGUUACCUCUUCAAAUUAUCGAAAAUAAACUUCUUAGUAAUCGGGUUUUCUUUUAUCUCAGAUAUUUCAACAAUAUGAAACCGUCCCUUUUAUGCCCACCUUUUUCAAACCAAAUUUUGUUACGAAAACAUGAACUGUAAUUAGUUCAUCAAUAACUUGUCUGCUAGCCCAUUCCAAGUAAGAUGAAAUAGAUUUGCAUUUAUUUUUAAGUCAAACUUAUUCAUUUAUAAUUCUAUGAUUUAUCUAUUCUUUUUUUUUUUUUUUUUUUGCCUACCAUCAACCCCUGAUGCUAUACUUUUCAAAUCAUUCUAUCAAGAGAGAAAUUACAUUUCGACGGUGUAAGUCGGCAAUCACAUAACUCGUUUGCAGUGUAUGAAAAUCUUCGUCUCUAUGUUAUUUAUUUAAAGGAAAACAAAUUGACAUCAUUCCUUGAAGUUUUUGCAGAAUUUUCUUCUCACAGAAAAGAAAAAUCAUGGCAGUUUUAAAGAAUUGCAGUUUAGUAGUCUUCCGUUUUAAAAAUAAGUAUGAUAGGAAGUCCCCGGCGUCGCAAAUCGAGUUAUGUGAUUGCCGACUUACACCGUCGAUUUAUGUACCUCAAAUGAAAAGUAUUGAGUGGAGGGUUUGAUUUCAUCCUACUCCAUCUGGAGACAGUUCACUACACAGUCACUAAGUCUUCUUGGUAGUGCUCCUCCUAUUAUUCCCGUGAAGCUUUUUUUGAUGGAGGGUCAAAUUCUUUUCCUAUAAACAAACACCAUGCAGACCAAAAAAAAUCGGAGCAGUGCAAAAUUUUCUGGGAUCCCCCAUCACCUUGUUUGAGUUAUUUUGAAGUGACCAGAUUAAGAAUGGGGCUGAAUCAGGGUAACUUGUCAUUUUUGAAUUAAAACAGGCGUGAUCAUUGCAGAGGAGAGGAACCAUGAUUUAUUGGGGAAAAUGUGGAUAAUUGCAAGGAAUUGUCGAUAAUUUAGGAUGAAUUGGGGAUCAAUAUACAGGUUGGAACAUGUUGCAAUGAGCAGCGUUACAAAUUGAAAAUUGAGGUGAGUGCCAAUACGCUGUGAUAAUACACACAGCGUACUGACUCUCA
rnacentral:lncRNA from 1 species